AGCGAACGCUGGCGGCAGGCUUAACACAUGCAAGUCGAGCGGGCACUUUCGGGUGUCAGCGGCGGACGGGUGAGUAACGCGUGGGAACGUGCCCUCUGGUUCGGAAUAACUCAGGGAAACUUGAGCUAAUACCGGAUACGCCCUUUUGGGGAAAGGCUUGCUGCCGGAGGAUCGGCCCGCGUCUGAUUAGCUAGUUGGUGAGGUAACGGCUCACCAAGGCGACGAUCAGUAGCUGGUCUGAGAGGAUGAUCAGCCACACUGGGACUGAGACACGGCCCAGACUCCUACGGGAGGCAGCAGUGGGGAAUAUUGGACAAUGGGCGCAAGCCUGAUCCAGCCAUGCCGCGUGAGUGAUCAAGGCCUUAGGGUUGUAAAGCUCUUUUAUCCGGGACGAUAAUGACGUUACCGGAGGAAUAAGCCCCGGCUAACUUCGUG
rnacentral:rRNA from 1 species